UUAGGCUGAUGUUAAUGGUCAUGAAAAUGUUGAGAAGGGCAGGGUGUAUUCUUAUGAUUGGUGUGUGUUGAGUAGAGUGGUUGAGUUUGUGUGGAUUAUUUCACCGGAAUGUGGCAAUUUACAUCUAACGUAUGUCAGUGCCUCUCGUGAUAAUAGGUCUGGUCUGAUAUUAGAAAUUAGCUCAGUGGACUUACUCUGAAAGAUGUACUGCGUACAGCAUGUUUUUCCGUCGUCGAUUCCCCAAUGUGAUAUCCAUUGUAUUAGUCAUUGGGGGAUUAUUUGUAUCUUUAUUCAUCAUAAUAAAAAUGAAAUACCUAUACGAUAGCAACCAAAAGUUUCACAGACUUCAAGGUUACAAACAAUAUAUGGAGGAAAUAUCAGACUACAUGCGCAGUGUUGAGGUGUCAGCCAACAAAUCAGCCAUGAGCUUACAUCGCUUGAACUCCGUGCUUCAGAGGCAAGAGCAGCAACUAGUGACAGGAAUGAGUACUAACAAAGCUACUAGAAGAUAACACAAUCUUGGGUGGAUAGAAUUUCAGUUAUAAGUGACUAGAGGAGUAGUACUAGAAGCAAGCAACCUGCUGCUAUACCAGAGUAAGGGUGCAGAGAACUUGGUGAAAUGUUCUGGUACGCAAGGCAGCAUUCAUCAUGUUGGGUCUUUAUCUGAGAUGAAUCAUACUGUUUGCUGUAUUGUUCAUAGGUCUGGUAUAUUUUUCCUUAUUUUAUAGUACAUUACUUCCCCUUGUAUUGUGCUUUUCAUUGCUGUGUGCCUUAGAUAACUUCAUUAAACUUAUUUUGUAUAUAAGACAUCAAUUCGGAAAUAUUUUCAUGUCUGCACAUGCCUUCAUAUGGCAGACAUCUUGUUCUGUUUAUGCUUAUACUGCAGUUGUGUUGGACAUUUGCCAUUGUCUGAGUCAGAUGUGGUAUACUCCGUGCUACUUAAAAGAGAGGUGACAUUUCCAGGGGUCAUCACAUGGGUGGGGAAAAUCAUAACCACCUAUGUUAUUAAUUCCUGGCUUAAGCUUAGGUAAUUAUUUUUUGUUCCUGUAUUUUCCUACAAAUGCAUACAUACACAUGUGAGUUUCAUUGAAACACAAUCAGUGACAGUUCAUCUUCUCCUUUUGCCUGUCUUAUGUCACAUUUUGCACCACAGAAAAUAAUUUUUUUAGUAUUUGUUACUUCUAAUGUUAGUAGCACAACCAAUACUUGCAUGUUACUUUAGAAUGAUUUAAAGGAUGCUUGAGGCAGGAGUAACCCAUUGACCCUGUAAAAUGCAAAGUGCUUCCUGAUUACCAUAUCCAAAGAUACAGUGAAACUGGGACAAGAAUGUGACUGAAUAAUAAUUUGGAACAGAGAUUAUAAGGCACGGUGAAAUAUUGUCUUUCUGUGUACGACAUCUUUCCUGUGUCAGCAUUGUCUGUUACCAUGUCUUAGUAUGGUACACUGUCUACUAAACUAUGACAGUUUCCUUCCACAUCCUUUCCAAUUCAUCAUUUAUAGUUUGCACUGUAUAACAUGAGAAUGACAAAGCAUUGCCAAUUAAGUUACAAGGAAGCAUAAUUAAUUAAACUAAGAAAUAAGCUGUUGCUUAAGUUUGUGAUAAAACCAAUUCCUGACAUUUUGAGUAAAUUAAAUGUGCCUCAUACAGUUGAUGAUGUUCAACAUAUUUGCAUUGUAAUGCAUCAUCUGUUGUCACAACUUUUAGAUAUGUUUUAAGUUUACUUGUGUUUGGUAAUUACAUUUGUGAUCUGUAAACAUUCCUGUCUGUGAUAUAUACUUAGUCUUCUAAUCUGUCACGUUGGUUAAUGUUUUGUGGUCACAGCUGUUAUGUCAAUGUAGUGUUCAUAUAUUUUUGCAUGAUUAUGUCUGUCCAUUAUGUAGUUCUUGUGUAAAGAACUUAUCAUGUGUAAACUAUUAUAUAGUAAUGUCCUCAGAAACGUUUGUUGAGGUUGGUGCUUUAAUUUUCUUUGUGGUCUGCUGGAACGAAUUUCAGAACAUGAUAUGAAUAUCUUAUAAGACUUAUUCCACGUAGAACACUUUUGUCGAGUCUAAGAUUUAUUUGUAGUUUUCUUAACGGUACUCAUUUUAAGGAUAACUGUUUAAUAUUAUGGAGCAUCUGAAGAGCAAUUAUGUCAGGAGACUAUGAAACAGAAAGAAGUUCUUGGAACCCUUAAAGAUGUUUUAUUGUGCAGUUCCCACUUCAGGAUAUUUAAAAAAGGUUAAAAUAAUUGUGUUCCUUUUUGUGGUUCAUAAACUGUAUUAAAUUUCUGGGAAAUGAUAAAAUCUGUUUGAGGCAGCUUGAAAGUAUGUUUACGAGACUCGUGUUUUGAAAUUUGUAUGACUCAUCAUAAAACUACUUUUCUGCAGUGUCCUCUGAAGAUUGAGACAUCAUAAUUAUGUAUCUGCAUCCAUGUUUGGUACAAGCAAGGUUCCUGAUUCCAUCAAAAUAAUGUGGUUGCAUCUUCAAGCUAUUCUUGAACCACUUAUUUUCAUAAAUGAUACUCAUUUCAUGUGCACAUUCAUCAGUGCUGAUUGUUUAGUUCUUUUGAAUAUCCUGAUUAGUCAGUUCCUCAAUACAGAUCUGCAGUUGAUGACUCUCCAGGAGUUUAUCAUCAACACACUUCACCCACCUUUGAUUUCUUCAACAACAUUUUUAAUUUUCCCCUGGCUCACAUCUUCUGACCACAUAAACUGUAUGUCAUUGUUCUUUGCUGCAGUCUGUUAAUAUAAUAGUCAUGUUAAGUAAGUCACAUUAUCACUACUGAAAGCAAAUUAACAUAGGUUCAUAUUUGCAUGUGCGCUCAUGCAUGGAUGCAUACACUCUUGUUCAGUGCUGCCAAGAUAAAAUGAGUAAAAUUAAAAUUGCCUCUCUUUUUUACUUUUCUUAUAAUAUCCAUACCGAAGAAUCAUUUCAAGAGACAUGCCUUGUAAACCUAUGUUCUGGCUGCUUCGUGUAUUUUGUCAGCGCACUUCUAGGGGUACUUGUCCAUGCUAGUUACUACUAAAGGUACCUGGAUUCAGUCUUGGGUGUUGAUGUUUGUGUGCUUCAUUUCUUCCAGGAAAAUGGCUAUUUGGCCAUAACCACUUCCAUUCUGAAUCAACUUUCAUACUCCUUUUAGUACUGAUCAGACUUUCAGUAAGACUUACAAUGAAAAGUGAAAGCAAAAUUAUAGAAACAAGAAGUAUAUUUUGUACUGUUUAUACUGUUCAUGCCUGUAUUAGUGGACCCAUGUGAGAAAUAUAUAACAACCUGAAAUAAAUACUAUUUAAUUGUUUUAUAUUCAUUCCGAAGUGCGAUGCAUACAGUUGUUCCAAUGGAGCAAGUUUCUGGAUUUCCAUCUUUUUUUCAUCCCAGUGUUCAAAGAAAUUAAUUCCAUUACAGUUUCUGGCCAAGAAUAUUAUGUAUAUGUGUAUUAAGUGCUGAUCUUAUAUUCUAUUUAAUAAUAGUAAGCUGAUAUAGUACUUAAAUGGUUCCCAUAAUUACUGGACAUAGAAAUUUAAAUGUUAUGUUUUGUACAUUAAAUCUAGUAUAUUAGUUCCUAUGUAGAUACAACUUUAUUUUUUAGAUGCAUUGCCCAAUUGUAUCAAUUGAAAUGUCCAUAUAGAAGCAGUAUGUAUGUAUAAGACAGUAUUAUUUAUAACCUAUGUAGAAGUUGAACACUAAUUCAUUGCAUUGUUAAGGUGGUAGUCCUGGCUGUUGUGCAAUGUAGUCUCUAGCUGUAUACCAACGUUCUUGAAGAACAUGCUGCUUCUAUCUUUAGGUCUGAAGUGGGAGAUUUAUCAAAUGGAUGAUUUACAUAUGGCUAGAAGGAAGUUCAGGCCAAGGGGAUUGGUCACUCAGUCAUGGGAUAAGGGGGGUUAUGGAAUUGUGCGUCGGCCAAUAAGAAAGAUCCCUUUCUAAGCCGUCACAGAGGAAGGGUGGGCCAAAGAAAAUGUGGUCUUCUUAAGAGCCCAGAAAUGAAGGUGGGAUCAAAGAAAGUUGUUUUUGGUGAGAAUUUUCUUCCAUUUCAUGGUGUGAGACUUCCAUGACCUGCUGAGGGAGAUACUUGUCCUCUCUGUUGACGAGAUAGGCUAAAACUCGAUCUUUAUCACUUCCCAUAUGUUUUGUCAUUGUGUGUUCCUCUGUUUGAGAUUGAUGUCAGUCUGUUUUUUUGGUUGAGUAAUCUGGAUGCUGAUUGUUUCUAUCUUUUAUCCUUUGGCCUUUUCCCUUUUGUUAGGGAGUUAAAUAUAAAGUAAAAAAUUUGUAACAUUUCAAAACAAAUCAAACUCAUAUUAUAGGCUUGCUCUGUCCCAUCCAGUACUUCACAGCACAAUAAAAAAAAUAAACUGCCAUAUUUCCUAUGCUGACUUGCUGAUUAAUCAGUGGCAUGUCGCUGGGUGCAUAUUAGGGGGGAGGGGUGUGUACACAGUGUCUGUAUUCUGUAUAAAUUCAUGUGUACAAUGAAUUCACUUAAACUUUGCUUGUGGUUUUUUGAAAGCUGAAAUAAUAUUUUGUUGUCUUCCAUUUUUAUUUACUAGGUCUGUCUUAUUUUCCAGGCUUCUUCUUUAUGUAAUUACUUCAUACUGUAAUGUUCUUUUGACAUGCCAGCCUCCAUGUUUGUGACCUGUUUACAGUGAGUAAUAAAAAUCUAACAUACUGAGCAAUCCA